UUGGGACGGGGGCCGCCCCGGGGGCUGCCGGGUGGCGUCUCUGGUGGUUUUGAUGUGCAUUUCCCAGAGGUUCGCGUGUGGAGCGUUACUGAGGCUGCCGGACUUCGUGAUGAGACACUCGCCCGGGAGGCCAGCGGCUCAUCCCGCGAGCGUCCCUCGAGGCUGGGAGUCCUGGGGCGGGGCCGGCCCGUGGUCAGCUCCUCAGACCCCCCCCCCCCACCUCCAGCCCCGCGAGGCACCUUACAGUCCCCGUGUUACAGGUUCUCUGCGCUCCAGAACCACACGUGACCCUGCGGAGAUGACCGUCCUCGAGGUCAGCAACGUGCUACCAAUUUCACCUGGUCACUGUGUGCGGAAUCCGGAAAGCCUCGGUGUGGUCCCCAAGAGUAAUCUCCAAAGGGUGCGUCGUCCGUGGCCCAGCUCGGAUUUCAACCCCGCGUGCUUGCUCGUAGCGCCCCAGCCUCCACGUCACGUUCUUUACGAGUUAACGGUGCAUUUACCGAAAGCAGAGUUGGCCCUCCGUUAGGACGCACGUGUGAGAGUGGGUUUCUGCCUGGUGCAAUUCGAUACGCUGGCUAUUAAGCCACCGAAAGACGGCUGAGGUCUAGACUCGCUUGCUGACGGACCCUGGCAGUGCGUUGUUUGGGAUGUGUUCGGAUGCAAGGAAACACGACGUCCACUCAGUUCUGUCCCAGAUGCACCGAAGAAUUCGAGACCGGAGCCCAGAAUGGGGAGGGAGAGUUGACCGAGUAGAGGGAGAACUCGACGCCAAUGUCCUAUUCGACAGAGACCGCAGCAACCUGUAUGCCUCGUGGACGGCAGAGGGGAGCUUCGGAAAAUUCAUUCCACGUGUGACGGGAGACCCCCAACUGUGGGAAUGGACGCGAGAACUGGAAGAUGCACUCCCCAAAGACCUGGGCGCCUGCUGCUGUCUCCCUCUGACGUCCGCGGCACGAGGCUUUGUCACGUGCGGCCACGGCCUGGCUGACACGGAGCGCCAGUGCCCAGACGCUGCGAAGGUACUUGUCGUCUCCCUGUGGCUCCAGUGUGACCGUCUGUCCUGUCUUUUCAUUUCCUGCAUCAGCAACCCCCCCGCCCCCCACCGCCCCCGGCGGGUCUGGGCUGCCUCUCCCCGCGUCCUCACAAGCACCAGGGGAGGCAAUGGUUAGUGCAGCUGACGGGUGACCAGCUCCAGUGGGGCGCAGACCUGACCUUCCUGGCCCCCUGGUCUUGGGGCAGGACCCGACAGCUAGUUCUGGCCCGUGAGCGGGAGUGAGUACGUCGUUCCUGGGUUGGGGCGUUGAAUAGCCUGUGUGUGACUUUCUAGAAUCCCCCGCUGAAGUAAUUAUGGAAGCAGAAGUGAAUUUGGAGCCCCCCCAUAGGCUCAGACCCCCGAGUGGCUGGAGGGACCAGAAUGUCCCUGCCCACCUGCAAAGUCAUGGAGUAGGAGGGAGAAAUAAGUCCGUUUUGAGCCUGAGGUUGGUAAGCCACGGCCUGCAGUCCAAAUCUGGCUCGCUACCUGUUCUUUAAAUGAGGUUUGCCUUGGGGUGCCUGGGUGGCGCAGUCGGUUAAGCGUCCGACUUCAGCCAGGUCACGAUCUUGCGGUCCGUGAGUUCGAGCCC